rnacentral:lncRNA from 1 species
AGAAGAGUGGUCAACUUGCUUAGGAGAGGGAGUUUCCUUACCAAGAGUUCCCCCCACUGAUAUCUCUAGACCAAAAGCGGCAAUAAGGACCACUCUGCUAGACCUUUCAGUACCAUCGUUCAGUCAUCAGUAUGUUUGUGUACAAUAACUCCUAUAGAAGUGCUUGCCAGUGUAACAUUAUUUCUAAAGAUCAAGGGUCAUAGACAAGACUCCAACAAAGAGCAGGAUAAGAAUUAGCAUGCCGGCAGAAGAGGUAGAUCAUUUAGCCCUGGGAGCUGAGGGAGAAAAACAAGGUCUCUGGCACUUGGAAUUGGCCUCUCAGAGACAUGAGCUAGUCCAGAGGUCUCUCUGCCUUUGUGGAGGGGAACCAAGAAGUUGGGAAGGAAGGAAGUCAUCUAAGAUCAAUCAGGAAAUAAUGACAUCAGGAGAUAAAUACCAACGGUCUCCUAGCCGCAAGCUGGGAUGUCAUCCUUCCAUGAAACUUUGAUGGUUUGAAGGUCCUGAAUCUCAGAACUACGUGUACAAUUCUUUGGCCUGCUAGCUGUUGUCUUUUCCCAGAGGUCAGGGUUCUCAUGACAGUCAGUCCCUUCUAGCCUGCACUGGGAGUGCUUUGAGGCAUUGAGUGGUUGGUAGCAGACACACCAAACCAUGGACUCUCUCAUUCCCUUCUCUUCCAUGGCUCCAGAUACUCCAUGUGGACAUGCUGGAAUAGAGAAGAGUAAUCUCUCAGUGCUUAGGGGAAAGGACCCAAGAAGUCUUCUAGUCCAGCUGCCGACCCCAUACCAGAAUUAAUCAUGGAAUCAACCAAUGGUUAUCAUUUUUUUAAACCUCUAACUUCCACCUUAAAAUCAAUACUAUGGAUUUGUUCCUACAAAAGAGUGGUAAGGGCAAGCAAUGGGGAUUAGGUGACUUGCCCAGGGUCACUCAGCUGGGAAGUAUUUGAGACUAGAUUUGAACCCAGGACCUCCCACCUCUGGGCCUGGUUCUCAGAGCUG